rnacentral:rRNA from 1 species
AGAUUAAACUGAAGAGUUUGAUCCUGGCUCAGAUUGAACGCUAGCGGGAUGCUUUACACAUGCAAGUCGAACGGCAGCACGGACUUCGGUCUGGUGGCGAGU